CUAUUUUUAAAAUAUACAAUCAAACAAAUCAAAAAAAUUUCUAAACUUCUUUUUCAAAAAUAUUUUUGAAAAUUUAUCUCUCAAAAUCAAACCAAACAAGGCCUUUUUUCUUGUUUUUUCUACUGCAAUCUCAAAUGAAAUCAAAUUUGUGGAUCCUGACAUUUUUUUAAUGUUAUGACUGAUAUGCUGUGUUAUUGUGCUUUAGGAUGAUGAGUGACUAUGCUGUGCAGCCAAUAAAUGAUGGGAUUAGUGAAUUCAAUGUGGAAUUCCAUGGUCCAAAAGAAAGUGUUGCUGAGAGAAUAGUUGAUAUGAUUGCGCAAGUAAUAUUGGAAGCUAAAUUGAGAUUGUUUUUUUAUUUUUUAUUUUUUUUUUGAGGACUUGAAUUUGUUAGUACUUUGUAUAAAUACAUUUAAGGAUGGUUGAUAGAUAUUUGUUUUGCAUGUAUGGAAGUUUAUAUUUUGUAUGCAAAUUUUUUUUUUUUUUCCCUGAAGAAAAA